rnacentral:rRNA from 1 species
UGGGGAAUUUUGGACAAUGGACGCAAGUCUGAUCCAGCCAUGCCGCGUGCGGGAAGAAGGCCUUCGGGUUGUAAACCGCUUUUGUCAGGGAAGAAACGAGUUUCUCUAAUACAGAGACUUAAUGACGGUACCUGAAGAAUAAGCACCGGCUAACUACGUGCCAGCAGCCGCGGUAAUACGUAGGGUGCAAGCGUUAAUCGGAAUUACUGGGCGUAAAGCGUGCGCAGGCGGUUAUGCAAGACAGAUGUGAAAUCCCCGGGCUCAACCUGGGAAUUGCAUUUGUGACUGCGUCGCUGGAGUGCGGCAGAGGGGGAUGGGAUUCCGCGUGUAGCAGUGAAAUGCGUAGAUAUGCGGCGGAACACCGAUGGCGAAGGCAAUCCCCUGGGCCUGCACUGACGCUCAUGCACGAAAGCGUGGGGAGCAAACA